rnacentral:rRNA from 1 species
GACGAACGCUGGCGGCGUGCUUAACACAUGCAAGUCGAACGGAGAUUAUUAAUGAAGCUUGCGAUUUAAUAAUCUUAGUGGCGGACGGGUGAGUAACGCGUGGGCAACCUACCCAUAAGCGGGGGGAUAACAGUUGGAAACGACUGCUAAUACCGCAUAAGCUAUUGAGGUCGCAUGACCUAAAUAGUAAAGGUGGCGAAAGCUAUCACUUAUGGAUGGGCCCGCGUCUGAUUAGCUAGUUGGUGGGAUAGCAGCCUACCAAGGCAACGAUCAGUAGCCGGCCUGAGAGGGUGGACGGCCACACUGGGACUGAGACACGGCCCAGACUCCUACGGGAGGCAGCAGUGGGGAAUAUUGCGCAAUGGGGGAAACCCUGACGCAGCGACGCCGCGUGAGCGAAGAAGGCCUUAGGGUCGUAAAGCUCUGUCGAGGAGGAAGAUAAUGACGGUACUCCUCGAGGAACGCCCCGGCUAACUACGUGCCAGCAGCCGACGGU